UAUCAGAACUGUAGGGACGCAUGUGGAAAGCACGGGCCGGGAAUGGAAAGACCGGUACAAGCGGGGUAGGUGUACAAUAGGCAAAUCCGUUGUAUAAUCCGAAGACGUGAUGUGGAGCGAAAUAAAGUAGUGAAGCGUGUGAGCCAUGUGCCGAGAAAAGCUGCUAUUGUGUAAUGCGUGCCCGUACCGUAAACCGACACAGGUGGAUGAGGAGAGAAUCCUAAGGCCGGCGGAAGAAGCAUUGUUAAGGAAUUCGGCAAAAUGACCCCGUAACUUCGGGAGAAGGGGUGCCUGCGAGAGCAGGCCGCAGAGAAUAGGCUCAAGCAACUGUUUAGCAAAAACACAGGUCUAUGCGAAACCGAAAGGUGAAGUAUAUGGGCUGACGCCUGCCCGGUGCUGGAAGGUUAAGAGGAGAGGUUAGCUUCGGCGAAGCUUUGAAUUUAAGCCCCAGUAAACGGCGGCCGUAACAAUAACGGUCCUAAGGUAGCGAAAUUCCUUGUCGGGUAAGUUCCGACCCGCACGAAAGGCGUAAUGAUUUGAGCACUGUCUCGACAAUGCAUCCGGUGAAAUUGAAGUACCAGUGAAGAUGCUGGUUACCCGCGCCAGGACGGAAAGACCCCAUGGAGCUUUACUCCAGUUUGAUACUGGGAUUCGGUACUGCAUGUACAGGAUAGGUGGGAGACGAAGAAGGAUGGACGCCAGUCUGUCCGGAGUCGCUGUUGGGAUACCACCCCUGUAGUACUGGGUUUCUAACCAGUUGCCAUGAACUGGCAAUGGGACAAUGUCAGGCGGGGAGUUUGACUGGGGCGGUCGCCUCCGAAAGGGUAUCGGAGGCGCUCAAAGGUUCCCUCAGAAUGGUUGGAAACCAUUUGAAGAGUGCAAAGGCAGAAGGGAGCUUGACUGCGACACCGACGGGUGGAGCAGGUACGAAAGUAGGACUUAGUGAUCCGGUGGUAUAAAGUGGGAUUGCCAUCGCUCAACGGAUAAAAGCUACCCUGGGAUAACAGGCUUAUCACUCCCAAGAGUUCACAUCGACGGAGUGGUUUGGCACCUCGAUGUCGGCUCAUCGCAUCCUGGGGCUGUAGCAGGUCCCAAGGGUUGGGCUGUUCGCCCAUUAAAGCGGUACGCGAGCUGGGUUCAGAACGUCGUGAGACAGUUCGGUCCCUAUCCGGCGCGGGCGGAGGAUAUUUGAGAGGAGCUGUCCUUAGUACGAGAGGACCGGGAUGGACGGACCACUGGUGUAUCUGUUGUCGACCAACGGCAUGGCAGAGUAGCCAAGUCUGGAAGGGAUAAACGCUGAAGGCAUCUAAGCGUGAAGCCCCCCUCAAGAUGAGAUAUCCCUCCUUCGGGAGUAAGACCCCUUGAAGACUACAAGGUAGAUAGGGCAGAGGUGGAAGCAUGGCAACAUGUGGAGCUGACUGUUACUAAUAGGUCGAGGGCUUAAUU
rnacentral:rRNA from 1 species